UACGUAGGGUGCAAGCGUUGUCCGGAAUUAUUGGGCGUAAAGGGCUCGUAGGCGGUCCAUCGCGUCGGGAGUGAAAAGCUGGGGCUCAACCCCAGUCCUGCUUCCGAUACGGGUGGACUAGAGGUAGGCAGGGGAGAACGGAAUUCCUGGUGUAGCGGUGAAAUGCGCAGAUAUCAGGAGGAACACCGGUGGCGAAGGCGGGUCUCUGGGAAGUAACUGACGCUGAGAAGCGAAAGCAUGGGUAGCAAACAGG
rnacentral:rRNA from 1 species